CCUACGGGAGGCAGCAGUGAGGAAUAUUGCUCAAUGGCCGAGACGCUGAACCAGCCAAGUCGCGUGAGCGAAGACGGCCCUACGGGUUGUAAACCUCUUUUGUCGGGGAGCAAAUCGAGUCACGUGUGACUCAUUGAGAGUACCCGAAGAAAAAGCAUCGGCUAACUCCGUGCCAGCAGCCGCGGUAAUCCGGAGGAUGCGAGCGUUAUCCGGAUUUAUUGGGGUUAAGGGGUGCGCAGGCGGAGGUGCAAGUCAGCGGUCAAAUUGCGGGGCUCAACCCCGUACUGCCGUUGAAACUGGAUGCCUUGAGUGCGAGAGAAGUAUGCGGAAUGCGUGGUGUAGCGGUGAAAUGCAUAGAUAUCACGCAGAACUCCGAUUGCGAAGGCAGCAUACCGGCGCGCAACUGACGCUCAUGCACGAAAGCGUGGGUAUCGAACAGGAUUAGAUACCCUUGUAGUC
rnacentral:rRNA from 1 species